CCUACGGGAGGCAGCAGUGGGGAAUAUUGCACAAUGGGCGCAAGCCUGAUGCAGCCACGCCGCGUGUAUGAUGAAGGUCUUCGGGUUGUAAAGUACUUUCAGCGGGGAGGAAGGUGUAGUGGUCUAUAAACGCCGCAAUUGACGGUACCGGCAGAGGAAGCACCGGCGAACUCCGUGCCAGCAGCCGCGGUAAUACGGAGGGUGCAAGCGUUAGUCGGAAUUACUGGGCGUAAAGCGCUCGAAGGCGGUCUGUCAAGUCAAAGGUGAAAUCCCCGUGCUCAACGUGGGAACUGCCGUUGAGACUGGCAGGCUUGAGUGUGGGAGAGGUUGGUGGAAUUCCAGGUGUAGGGGUGAAAUCCGUAGAGAUCUGGAGGAACAUCAGUGGCGAAGGCGACUAUCUGGCCCAUAACUGACGCUGAGGAGCGAAAGCGUGGGUAGCAAACAGGAUUAGAUACCCGGGUAGUC
rnacentral:rRNA from 1 species